rnacentral:rRNA from 1 species
CUAGCCUACUGUGCGGGCCAGCAUGUGCCCCGUACGGUAUGGAAUUCGGAAUUUAGGGCCGUGUUCUCGAAAUGUGGCCAUGGCGGCGGGUCAGGUACACGCAGUAAAUGAACGCAAGGGAAGGUCGAAUUGACGGAGGUAUGGGGAGCGGAGACGGGAAACGGAACGUCGUGGUAAGGCGGCAACGGAAGAAGGGGUGUAGUAGUAGCAGCGGGCAGGUGUCUGCGCCUCUCUGGCUGAACCGGUACCUAGGGGGCGGACGAGUCAGGUACAGGCGCUGGCUGCUAGAGGUGCUGUUCUCGGAGCUGCCUACGACAAGAACGACGAUGCUGACGACGAGGUCGUAGGAACUGAAGGACACGACGCGAACUACGGGGAGGACGGCAAGGUGCCGUAGGCCACCUUCGCCUCCGCGCGCCUCUCCGGACUCAAUCAUAAAGUCUCAUGAUAUGUCAGUAACACACUCAUAUAAAAUGUAUCGGACAUACAUUAUUCCUCUAAAUACCUAGUUGACGACAUUACACAGCUGAAUAGAUAAGAGUUUUUCUUUACGCAACUGAAUAGAAGGG